UCACUUUCUCUCGCUUCUCUCUCGUCUUUGCUCUGAAGAAAAUUAGGGUUCUUUUAUCAAACCGAAGAAAACAAUUGCAGAGAACAAAAAAAAGAUUCUCGCUCCAUCGAUCUUCGUUGAGGACGUUUACGUAUUACAGAAGAACGAAAGUAAUCGAUUUAUAGAUUUAAUCGAUUUGAUUCAAACAGGUUUAAGAACUGAUCAUCAAUCUACAAGUUCGAAUCAGAGGACGAACUUCAAAUCUCUAAAACUCCGGCACAAAUUCAAUUUGAAUCUGAGUAUAAAGAUAAGUUUAUCUUCUUUUGUGCUUCAUUUGAUACAUUUAAGUUGUUCGAUUUUGAAAAAGAGGGAGAGAGUAAAAAGCUAAGGUUCCAGUGAAGAGGUCGAUUUCGAGAAAUUUCAAUGACAGAAGUUAUUAAAGGAAGAAGUGGAAAACGAAGGGGAAAGACAACAACUGAAGCUUUAAGUACCGAGAAAUGAAAAAGAGAAGAGGAUGAUUUAGAUCUUAAUCUUUCUAGUGAUAUUCAAGGUAUCAUAUGUUCUAACGAAAUUCAAUUCAAUUCAAAAAUGAGAGAGAAGAGUAAUUAGGGCUCUGGUGGAAUUCAUCAAUCAGGGGAAACGAGAGAUUUCAGAAACCCUCACUAUUUUUCCUCUCUUUUCCUACUUUCUCUUCCGUCCGAAAUUCAAUCUCGCCCUAAAAUUUCUUCUUCGCUCCAAACCCUAGAAAUUCAAAAUCAGAGUGAUUCGUCAUAUUCAAGAUUGGAGCAAAGUUGUGCCGAACAAGGAAUUGAUCAAAUAUGAAGGAGAUUCAGAGCUUCAAUUAGAGAUCUGAUAACUUCGUUUUUCGUCAAUCUGGUGCUGGUAAUAACAAGGAAGGUGCUGAGUUGAUUGAUUCUGUUCUUGAUGUUGUAGCGUGAUUCUCUACAGGGAUUCCACUGUAUAUGGAAUGGGAACUCUAUUGAUUUCAAAGAUCAGAAAGAAUAUCCUGAUAGAAGAUGCCCGUGGAUCUCUGCAAUACAGAGCAUUUACCAGAACUUACCCAGCAAAUGUGGAAUUCAAAGAACAUGAUGUGUGCUGCUGAUCCUAGACAUGGACGACACUUGACUGAAAACUAUCAAAAUACAAGUGAAGAGAAAAUCCUAAGCAUGCAAAUAAAAUAUCAGAAUGGGGACUCGAUCUUCUUUAAUAUAAGUUUCCUCUUCACUAACUUUUAAAUUUCAUACUGUUUCUGUACUUUAGAUUUUCUCUUCAAUGUUUUUGUGAAUUUGGUGGAACCAAAGUUGAAUUUUGAAUUUCCUGUUUUAUAAUUCGUGUGAUCUUGUAUUAUAAAUUUUUGUGGCAGCUUUGUGUUAUAUUUUGGAAUGAUUCGGGUGGAUUGUUGUGCGUCUCUGUCUUGUUUGUGUGCCGAAUCUUUGUUGCUUGUUUUGGUGACUUGCUGUGCGAUUCUUUGUUUAAUAUUUUUUGGUCCUGUCUUGUUUGUGUGCCGACUCUUUAUUGUUGGUUGUGGCGACUUGCUGUGGGACUCUUGUGUGAACUUUUGUGUAAUAUUUUUUGGUGAUUCCGGCUGCUUGUUGUGUGUCUCUGUCUUGUUUGCGUGCCGACUUGCUGUGGGACUCUUGUGUGAACUUUUGUGUAAUAUUUUGUGGUGAUUCGGAUGGCUUGUUGUGUGUCUCUCUGUGCUCUUACUCUGAAUUUUUGUGCUUCAUUUGUUCUUGGUGGAUUGCGUUCAGGUUUAGUUUUCUAAUGUGGCUUUUGUAUGGAUUCCUAGUGUUGAAUGAUCUUUUGUGGAUAUGAGUAUUUGCUUAAUAUUUUGUGGUCCUGUCUUGUUUGUAUGCUGACUCUUUAUUGUUGGUUGUGGUGACUUGCUGUGGGACUCUUGUGUGAACUUUUGUGUAAUAUUUUUUGGUGAUUCAGGCUGCUUGUUGUGUGUCUCUGUCUUGUUUGCGUGCCGACUUGCUGUGGGACUCUUGUGUGAACUUUUGUGUAAUAUUUUGUGGUGAUUCGGAUUGCUUGUUGUGUGUUCCUCUGUGCUCUUACUCUGAAUUUUUGUGCUUCAUUUGUUCUUGGUGGAUUGCAUUCAGGUUUAGUUUUCUAAUGUGGCUUUUGUAUGGAUUCCCAGUGUUGAAUGAUCUUUCGUGGAUAUGACUAUUUGCUUAGUUUAAUUUUCUCCAUCUACUUGUACGCUUGCUCCUGGAUUUGUCAUCUUAAUGGUUUGAACAAGCAUUUACUUUAUAUCGUUUCAGAAAACCCAUUUAUUCACGAUGUGGAAAUCACCUGGGAAGAUGUCGACCUCCAAUGUUACCACCAAGUGUGAGCCCAGCACCCCAAACGUUCUACUAAUGUCCAGAAGGGCUUAAGCACAAAGUGUUUGAGGUAUGUUUUGCUGAUCUACAGAACGAUGAGGAUCAGUCCUACAUAAAGAUGCGACUGAGAGUGGAGGAUGUCCAAGGAAAGAAUGUUUUGACUAACUUUUGGUGGCGGACUUUGAUUAAGGCUCAUGUUGAUGUGAAGACAACCGACAACUAGUUACACAAGCUAGGAGGCAAUAAGGUUUACACAAGAUGUGCAUAUGAGAUGUUAAGACGUUGAGGUGAAACUUUAUUUCAAGCAGUGUGCGUAUGAGAUGCAAGCAGUGUUGAGCUUCGAUGCUCGUGUUGUUGGAAGUAUACUGUGAAGACAUUGAGGCGUUUUUUUUGGGACAGUUCAUGUGUUGGCUUAUGGAGUAUCUACCUUAAACAGUGCAGUUGCUUACAGGAACCGCAGUCAUGGUUUGCUAUUUGUGGUAUUGGUCUCGCUGGAACUGGAGUUAACGCUGAAUACACAAGUCAGAUGCAUGUGUAACUCUCAAUGACACUAGAUAGACGCAUAUGUAACUCUGGAUUACACUAGACAGAUGUGUGUGUAAAUUCUAGUUACACAUGCUAAAAAAUUGUUG